GAGUCAAAGGCAGACACUCAACCACUGAGCCACCCAGGCAUUCCAAAUUAAUUAUUUUAAAAAUAGGUGGUACAUGCAUAUUGUAUAUAGUUAAAAUAUAGAAAAGUAUAUGGUAAGAAGUCCUGUAUUUUAAUUUUCAGAUUUCUCUCUCCAGAAACAAUCUGUCUUCAGUUUCUUCUGUGUUCUUCCAGGAAUUUUUAUGUCCAUGUUAGCAUAUAGGUUUUAUACGUGAAUUUCUGUUGUGGCUUUUUUUUUUCCCCCACAAGUAGUAACAUUCUAAACAUUGUUCUUCAUUUUACUUUUUUUUUCUUUAAAGAUUUUAUUUAUUUAUUCAUGAGAGACACAUGAGAGACACCAGAGAGAGAGAGGCAGAGACAGGCAGAGGGAGAAGCAGGCCCCAUGCAGGGAGCCCGAUGUCGGACUCGAUCCUGGGACUCCAGGAUCACGCCCCAAGCCCAAGGCAGACACUGAAAUGCUGAGCCACCCAGGUGUCCCUUCAUUUUACUUUUUAAAGUUAAAAUAGUUGGAUAUUUUCUAAUCAGUACAUGUUGAACUUCCUCAUUCUUUUCAAAGGUUAUAUUGUAUUCUGUGGUAUGCAUGGCCCAUAAUUUCACAGUCCUUUUUAAGUUGUUUUUAGUCUUUUGGUAUGACAAAACUGCUUGAAGGAAUAUUUUUGUCUAUGUGUCUUUAUAACAGUUUCCGAGAUAAAUUUUGAAAGUGUAGACUGCUAGAUGUCCCACUGAAUGCAUGGUUUUGUUUUGUUUUGUUUUUCCUGAAGAAGGGACUGGCAAAUGUUUUCUAUAAAGGGCCAAAUAAAUGCUUCAGGCUUUGCAUGCCGUAAGGCCUUUGCCGUAACUGCUCAACCCUUCGUUUGUAACUGGAAAGCAGUCAUAGGCAAUAUGGAAAUGAAUAUAUGGCUGUGCUCCAGUAAAAACUUUUAUAAAACAAAGGGGACUUGAGGGUUUGACCUUUGGGGUAUAAUUUGCUGUCCCUUGUUCUAGAGAAAGCAUUGUCUCCGGUAUAUGGCUGAUCUGCCAGGGACUACAGUUCUCAGAUUCCUUUGCAGCAAGGUGUGGUCAUGUGACCAGGUUCUCACCAUUGGAAUGUAAGGGGCUGAUGUGGGAAACACUGGGUAGGCAGUGCCUACCUUUUCUACCUUGCCUCCUGAUGAAUGGCUGAGGACUAGAAUGACCCCCUCAGAAGCUACCCAUUGAAGAUAGCAGAGCUGCCAUCAGCCUGGAUUCUUGAAUGACCCUAUGGAGCAGAGUCUCAUGUCUAACUUGAAAUAAUGUGGAACUGAUCCUCAGAGACAAACUGGUGUGUUUCUUUAAGUCACAGAAUUAUUGGUGAGUCUUGAUUUAGCAUUUAGCCUUCCCUAAAUAAUAAAGUGCCCAUUCAGGUACUUGUGGCACGGUAUUUUUUGACUGGAUCAGAAAUUGUGAUGUUCCAUGUGGAGUCAGAUCCUCUUUGUGCUUUUGCCCACUACCCCCUCGAUGUCCUGCAGUGUUUGUGGAAUUAUUGCCCUUCAAAGAAUGUCCGGGAACACCGAACACAGAUGUCCAUUCAUACCUCUUGUUUUGCAAGAGGUUGGGAGCCUUGUGGGAAAGAUGCCAGAGAAGCCCUGUUUUCAUAUAUGGUUCAUCUGUGUUCAGGCCUGUCUGAUGGCCUAGGAGUCCUGAAAGCAGUCCUUGCUAGAUGACAGAAAAACAGGUUCCUGAGAGAAGAUGACACCCGAGUGGGAGACAUGUGGCUGAGUAGCUCAGACUGAACGAUGAGUGGAAAUUAGGGGAAUCACAGGUGGCAGUUACAGUGGUGCCUUCCUACGACUGUCCCCUCACAGCAUACUCUGGCCCCACCUCCCCCACGUUCUUGAAAGCCCCAUCUUCUGGGAAAGAGAGGAAGGAUCCAUCAUCAGAGCUCAGCAUGGCUCUGUGGGAACCUUGCAGGGAACUGGUCUUGGGUGGGUAGAGAUCAGCAGUCUGACAAAGGAUGGAGUUUCAGUGGUUGAGUGCUGGGCUCAGAGCACUGAAGCUGGAGCAUGAUGAAGCCUGAAGCCUGAGGCUUUGAUUCUCUGUGAACCCCCAUUUCAUCACGACUUUGAAGUAGAAAAUGACCUUAUAUGGGACUCAGGAGCUGGUGGGGGCUUGAGUACACUCAGCUUGUAAUAGCGCCCCCUGGUGCUUUGCUGGAAUUUUUGGUGGAGAAUGCUUUUCUAGAAAGCUGGACUUGGUGAAGGUAUGCUUAAAUCAUCAAGAUUUGGGAUUACUAUAAAUGUAAUGGGUUUGGAUUUACUAGUGGUUGGAAGCCUGGGACAUACCAGAUACAUACCAUUAAGGGAAAAGGAGGUCGUACUCAUUUGCCUUGAGUAAAUUUUGGAGAACAGGGGUACAAGAAGUACAAGAAGGUACUUUGCGAAGCCUGUUCUACAGAAAUCUUUCGAUAAAGACUUGGCACUUAAAAGAUUGCAUUUUGAACAAACAUGUAAGCCCAACUAAAGAAUUGUCCUGUAAUUACUUAAAAGGACCUUGAAGGAAGGAAGUGACUAUUGUAGUACAGACGCGAUAGAACCAGAAAAUAUGUAAAUAUAUGAAGAUCCCUAGGAUCAGAAAAAGAAGUCUAGCCUGAACCAGAGUUACUCACUUAGCUCCUCUGUUCAGGGGUUACCAUCAGCUCUCUAGUGAGGACUUGCUGGAGACUCACACCAGCACCUGCUGCUGCUUCUGUGUGGUUGGCAGUAGGUAGAUAGGUUUGGUAUAGAGUACUCAUUAUGGAGGUGAAUGACAGUCUCUGCAAACAGGUCCUUCUGUCACCUUCAUAGAACACCAAGGUAAAGAACACUGAGGUAAAGAACCUCUCCAAUUAUGACAGCAGUGAGUAUCUAGGCUGAGUGCUGGAGCUAUUAUUUAGUCCAGCACCCGAUACUCAUGUCUUGUGUAUAAGGCUUGUUGUCUGUGCCAGUUCUGAGAGGAUUCACAAGUAUCUCCAACUCAUUAGAACAUUCUGUUGAGGAAUCUACUUCCUUGUGUGCUGUGGCCGAGGGACACAGAGGAGAGGGGACAGUAUCUCUGGAUUUCAGGGUGGCUCCUACUCUGCCAAAUACUUCCUGCCCCGGUGAUUGAGCGGUGAAGAAAUCAAAGCCCCUGAGCUCACAGAGCCUAUACUCUGCUGGAGAAGACAGACACCGAACAUGUAAUGUACUAUGUGUAAAAAGGUGGUUACCAUUUACUGAAUUGGGGAAAGAUUGAGGGUGGAGCAUUUUGGGGGAGGAAGAUCAGGAGUCUUAUUCUGGACGUAUUAAAUCUGAGAUGCCAGUUGGAUGUCUGAGAGGAGAUGUCAAAUAGGAGUUGGGUAAAGAAGUCAGAUUCAGGGAUGAGGUUCUGGCUGACAAUAUGCAACUGGGAGACAGACAUCAGAUAGUAUUGGAGGGCACUGGGCUCAGUGAGAUCAUGGAAAUGCUGGGUGUAGAUGGAGAAGAGGUCUGGGGACCUAGCCCUGGGGGCUUUUACAUUUAGAGGUCAGGAGAGGAGGAGGUCCCAGAAACAGAGAGGAUAGGGGAGCAAGGGGAGGAGGAGAAAACCAGGAAAGCCCAGGGGAUAAGUGAUUCCAGAGGGAGAGAGGAAUCAGUCCGGUCAGAUAUUGCCGAUCAGUGGAGUCAGCUGAGGACUGAGGUACUGUUGGCUUUGGCAACAUGGAGGUCUUCAGAGCAGUUUCAGUGGUGUGAUGGGGAUGGAAGUAGUUGAAUGGGUUCAGGAGAGAACAAGAGGAAGGAGGCAGAGUAUUAUGAUAAAGGGAACGGAGAAAUGGGGCAGUGCUGAGGGGGAAGGGGGUCAUGGAGAGACUACUUUGUCCCUGGCCCUCGUGCAAUUCUUCCUUUAUGAACAAAUGAACCAUUUCUACCCCUCCAAAGAGUACUCAGAUGACAUCAGAGACCUCACCUCCCUGCCUGCUGUCUUCUCAUGCAGGGCUAACACUACUCAGUUCUUGCUCCAGGGCUUAUUCCCUAUGACUAGAUCUGUCCCAUGGCUUGUACUUUCUUUUUUUUUUAAGAUUUUACUUAUUUAUUCAUGAGAGACACAGAGACACAGGCAGAGGGAGAAGCAGGCUUCCUGUGGGCAUGCCAAUGCAGGACUUGAUCCCAGGACCCCGGGAUCAUGACCUGAGCCAAAGGCAGAUGCUCAAUCACUGAGCCACCAGAUGUCCCUAUCCUGUCUUUCUUGAGCAUCCACAUGGAGAAAAGAAUGCUGGAUGGCCUGCAGGGAUAUUUCAUCCUUGGCGCCAGCCCUAAUAAGACUCCCUGCUUUUUUUCUUGUCUCCUUCCCACCUUGCAGUCUAUUAUCUCCACCAAGCAGCCAGAGUGGUCUUCUAAAAAUACAAACCAGAGCACCUCACUCCCCUGCUUUAAAACAACAAACUGUCACCACCACUACUCUUAAAGUGGCUUCAACAUGAACUUAGAUAAAAUCCACUGUCGUUUCUAAAGCCAUCAAGGCCCCUUGUGAUCUGGACUGUGGCUGCCUGUGUGGGUCCAGCUCCCCAAAUCCCUGUCCUGCCGUCUCCAUGAAGUUUCUGUUGUGGGCCAGGCCGAGCUCUUCCUUCCUGAAGAACCUCACAUUCUGCUUGCUCUGACUUGCCCCUUCCUUCCUGUGUCUUCUCUGGGCUGACUGCUCCCUGAUAUUUAGGUCCCAGCUCCGAGUCUGCUAAUCCAAGCUGCCUGACCAGGCGAGGUCACAUCAUUUCAUCACUUCUUUCCUUCAUAGCUGUUGUCGCUAAUGGAAAUGACCUUGUGUAUAUAUUUAUUUAAGAGCCUGUUUGCUAUCUCCCUU